AGUAAACCAAAGAAAUUCUCUGCACACUUUCAAGAUAACGCAUGAACUGGAACAAAAAAUGGUUAUGAUCAGUGGGUAAAUUAUGACUAUGAACUUGAGAAAUACCCAGAUCUUUAAGAAUCAAAGUUUAUCUUUGUAAUUGCUCUGGGACAAAAAUAAUUUGUCUUCCCUCUUUAAAAUAGUUUGUCUUCCCUCUUUAUGGGUUUCUACUUUAGGGGGUUUUAAAGAAGUGUCUUUAGCUGGUAUUCAAAGAG
rnacentral:misc_RNA from 1 species